UACAGAGGGUGCGAGCGUUGUCCGGAAUUAUUGGGCGUAAAGAGCUCGUAGGCGGCCUGUUGCGUCCGCUGUGAAAGCCCGGGGCUUAACCCCGGGUCUGCAGUGGAUACGGGCAGGCUAGAGGUAGGUAGGGGAGAAUGGAAUUCCCGGUGUAGCGGUGAAAUGCGCAGAUAUCGGGAGGAACACCGGUGGCGAAGGCGGUUCUCUGGGCCUUACCUGACGCUGAGGAGCGAAAGCGUGGGGAGCGAACAGG
rnacentral:rRNA from 1 species